rnacentral:rRNA from 1 species
GAUGAACGCUGGCGGCGUGCCUAAUACAUGCGAGUCGAGCGAACAGACGAGGAGCUUGCUCCUCUGACGUUAGCGGCGGACGGGUGAGUAACACGUGGAUAACCUACCUAUAAGACUGGGAUAACUUCGGGAAACCGGAGCUAAUACCGGAUAAUAUUUUGAACCGCAUGGUUCAAUAGUGAAAGACGGUUUUGCUGUCACUUAUAGAUGGAUCCGCGCUGCAUUAGCUAGUUGGUAAGGUAACGGCUUACCAAGGCAACGAUGCGUAGCCGACCUGAGAGGGUGAUCGGCCACACUGGAACUGAGACACGGUCCAGACUCCUACGGGAGGCAGCAGUAGGGAAUCUUCCGCAAUGGGCGAAAGCCUGACGGAGCAACGCCGCGUGAGUGAUGAAGGUCUUCGGAUCGUAAAACUCUGUUAUUAGGGAAGAACAAAUGUGUAAGUAACUGUGCACGUCUUGACGGUACCUAAUCAGAAAGCCACGGCUAACUACGUG